rnacentral:lncRNA from 1 species
AGCAUCUAAAGACGUGAAAAGACAUGGAAAGGAAGCAAUUGGGACAAAAAGCUAGAAGUUGAAAGAGGAAGCGGUGAUUGUGUACACAGUGUGAUUCCAGAAAGGGUGGGGUCCAGUGUGGCAAGAGAGGCAAGAGUUUGUGGUUAGCCUGAGCUACACAGCAAGAGACAGAAGCCUAAUCUUCCUCAAACAAUAGAAGGAAACAAAAUAUCAAAGUAGAAACAGAAACAGAACAACCAAGAAUGGUCAAUGACAGGAAGGGUAGGAAGAGGUGACAGAAUGACAGAAUGGUAGAGACAGUGCUAGAUUAUGUUAGUAAGGAGAAAGUGUUCUUAAAAUGUGAAUAGAAAAAAGUGUUAGUUAAUUUAAACAUAGAAAACAUGGAUAAGAUUUUACAAAACAAAAGAAUAAAGAGCGCCUGAGACCAGGGAGAGCCAAGAAAAUCCUAGGUGAGCAUCCGCACACAUUGAUUCAGAUAGCUUCAAUGAGCAUCUGUGCACGUCUAUGCCGGAAACUUAGAUGAGCACGCGAGCACAUGGAUGCAGGGGUACUGUCCAUGCUCAAGACCCUUGGGAUCUAAAGCUGUCACUUGGCAUCAACACUGGCAAAGCAAGAUGGUGCAUGGAGAUGCAGUCAUGAUACACAUGAUCUGACCUGGGUCAUAUCUGUCCUUCUGUCCAUCCAUCCAUCCAUCUGCCCACCACAGAAGAUUGUGUAGCAGACACACCAGGAAUGUGAGCCACACAGUUCUCAAAUAUCCACAGACACCAUAGCAGCCCAGAAGGUCAUUUUCUUGAGGAUGGUAAUUCUGUUGACCUCCUGCAACACAAUGAACCACACUCACCAUUCAAUCAAAUUACUAUAUAAAUAAGAGAAUGAAAUACAUUGGUUAAAUACAUCCAAGCAGA